AGUGAACGCUGGCGGUAGGCCUAACACAUGCAAGUCGAACGGCAGCACAGUAAGAGCUUGCUCUUACGGGUGGCGAGUGGCGGACGGGUGAGGAAUACAUCGGAAUCUACUUUUUCGUGGGGGAUAACGUAGGGAAACUUACGCUAAUACCGCAUACGACCUACGGGUGAAAGCAGGGGAUCUUCGGACCUUGCGCGACUGAAUGAGCCGAUGUCGGAUUAGCUAGUUGGCGGGGUAAAGGCCCACCAAGGCGACGAUCCGUAGCUGGUCUGAGAGGAUGAUCAGCCACACGGGAACUGAGACACGGUCCAGACUCCUACGGGAGGCAGCAGUGGGGAAUAUUGGACAAUGGGCGCAAGCCUGAUCCAGCCAUACCGCGUUGGUGAAGAAGGCCUUCGGGUUGUAAAGCCCUUUUGUUGGGAAAGAAAAGCAGCAGGUUAAUACCCCGCUGUUCUGACGGUACCCAAAGAAUAAGCACCGGCUAACUUCGUG
rnacentral:rRNA from 1 species